GGGGAAGCUAAAGAACAUUUACGGCAGGAACUAUUCUGUGCCAAAAGAAAUGUUGGGCGAAGCUGAACAAGUUUUACGGUAGAAACUAUUCUCCUUGCCAAAAGAAACGUUGGGGGAAGCCCAACAACGUUUACAAUAAAAACAAUCUUCUGUACGAAAAGAAAAAUUGGGGGAAGCUAAAGAAUGUUUACAGAUGGAACAAAUCUCUUGCGUGUUGAAGUCUCUGGGUAUUAUUAGGGCUAAUAUUGAAGUUAACCCUAAAGAGGAAUGUCAAGCCAGUAUCUCUGAAAAUGAUAAGGUUGUUGAGGAGGAGAAUAUAGAGGAAGAAGAGAUAGAGAUAUAUGAGGAGAAGGUGGAGAGAGAAGUGAAAAAGAUAGAAGAGAUGGAAAUAGAGAAGGUUGCUGCUGAGGAGAAGAUAGAUGAAAAGAUAGUGAUAGAAUAGGAGAAAAUAGAGGAAGAAGAAGCAGAAAGGUUGAGUGAGGGAGAUAAAGAUGAGGAGAAAGAAAAAGCAGUGGUUGAGAAAAAAAAGAAAAAAUAAGAAAAUAAGAAAAAAGAAAAAAAGAAAGUGGAGGAAGGAGAAGAUUGAGAAAAAGAGGAAGAGAGGAAAGAAGAAAAGAUCACAUGAAAGACCCCUUCCUCAUUCAAAAAAAUAUCAUAGGAAGGAAAAUAAAUUGAAGUGCUUUAUGAAGAUCUUCAAGAAAUUGGAGAUUAAGUUCCUAUGGUUGAAACAUGGAAAAUCCAUUCUCUAUCACUUUUGCAUCAUUCCAUAAUCCAAGUGUGGGGUUUUUUAGAGAGUACUGCAUUUUGGUUUCAUCCAUCAUCAGUUAUAAGAAUUUUGCAUACAUUCAAGGUCUCUCCA
rnacentral:lncRNA from 1 species